rnacentral:lncRNA from 1 species
CACUAUUUGCACAUCUUGUAGCGUCAAAAGAUUACACAAUAUACAACUCUUGAAGAAGUUUGAAUACUAUGAGAGAAUAACAGGCCAUGAUGCUUAGUACACAAAUCAACACAACAUUUCCAAGUAAUUAUAAACCCCAUGACAGCAAGAAUACCUCCAUAUUCAUAAAGCUUCUAUUUAACUUUUGACUCCCACAAUGCCAGCUCAAAGUCAUAAAUCAGCUAGCUUAACAAUGACAAAUACCUGACAACAAAAGAUAAUUUAACCAUUCUCAUCAUGGGAUAGUUUGUAGAAUAAGAGAUAUGUCGAGUUAUUUCACCAACACAUCUGAAAGUUCAUUGAAUGAACAUGUAAUCCACUCAGAAACUAGCAACGACAUCAAGUGCUAUAAUGAUGGAUCAAUAGAUGCUANCGGGUGAAGGUAUAUAAGCCAUCAAAUAGCAUUCAAUCCUGUUUUUAAUUUAAAAUGUGGAUAGAAUGAUAACUGAUGGUUUAUAUCUCCCUCUGUUGUACUACAGAACGGAUCCUACUAAAUUUUGUUUCAUAGGGUGGGUGGUGGUGGGUGAUCAAAAUAGUUGACAGUGAACAAUGGCUUGAUGCAAUUUCUUCUCAUGUGAGUGUCUGACAAGUUUGAAAUUGCAAUGAAAGUCACUUUCCAUUAACCUAACAACUUAAGUAGAAAAAAAUUUGAUCUAGAGAACCAGCAUGCAUGCAUCCACAGAGGUGACGAGCAUUUAAAUGGUCGGCAAGCAUAGCGUAGCUAGCAACUGCGUCCUAGAUAGGCACAUUUCAAAUUCUUGGGUUGCGUCCAAGCCUUUUUCACGGUUGCUAGAAAUAGAAAUUUUCACUAGCACUUUAUGGUGAAGUUCCAAAACGGAUUCUGUGAUUACUGCAUUUUAUUAUUGGUGUUUCAUGAGUUAGAUCAAACUUUGAUCUGCAUCAACAAGUUUGGAUCCUAUUUGGAUUGGUUUCAAUCAAAAGUCCAACCCAAAAAUUAAACUCUAAUAAUUUUUAUCGAGUUUAGAUCAAAUACACUAGUAAUAUGCAAUUCAAACUCAAAUUAUAACAGGGCACAUACAUUGAAAGAUUUUUACAUAAACCCAAAAUGAUAAUAUUGAAAUAUUUAUUUAAAUGAUACAAGAAAUAUCAUAUGAAUUAGUUAGCACAUAGAUGAAAUUGCAUGCUGCAAAAGACAGUCUUCUCUACCACUAAGCUACUAGAAACAACAGGCACCCGGAAAAAAAACAAACAAGGUGCAUGUUAUAUGAAUAUAAACAACACCGAAAGACCUUUAAUUGAUAUUGUAAAUCCACCGAUAAUUUUAGAAGUCAUCAAAAGCCAAAUUUAGCUUUUUUUCCUCACUACCAAAAUCUUUAAGUUUUCACUGAUGUGUUUGACUGACAAGCAGCUUGUGAAUGUCAAGAGAAAUGAUAAUUACCACUUUGAGAUCAUUUAUUCUUUCGAGUAGAAAAUUAAGAUAAUUAGAUCAUGGGAAUUUGAAAAGAUCUGCAGAGUCAAAUUUAAUUUAUCAAAAGACAUACCGAACUUACUAAUUGUGGCUAAUAGUCACCAUUCAGGAAAACCUUUUCUUUUGUACUGCUAUUUCUGAUUUAGUGCCAAUGUAGAUAAGCGGCCACAUUUAACAGUCAAAGUGUUACCACCAUGCCAUUAAUUUUUCCUUCCAAAAGUUAUUCUCAUGAUAGCAUUCUAAAGUCUGAUUAUUACUUUUGUUUAGUUUAAAGAUGUACUCUAUUUGCAAUUAACUUUAUAAAGGUUAAAGGUUAUAUAUGUAUGUAUAUAUAUAUAGAGAGAGAGAGUUCGGCUACUAUACUCUUAUGAGUACGAUCUAUUAUACUUUUAUGAGUACGAUUAUCCUCGUACUCAUAAGUUGUUUUCGAUGAUAGAGCUUUCGAAUCGACGAUCCACACCGUUAAACGUUAUCUAGAGCAAAGUUUAAAGUGCCGUGGCAUGGGGGUGUGCCGCUGUCUGCCUAGCAUGGUACGGCACCGGCACGCUUCCGUGCCGACAUAUGGUACUCUUGUGUGCCGAUGGAUACGCAUGACUUUCUACUGGCACGCUUUGGCACGGACUUAUUUCAGUUUUUUUGAUUUCAAUAAACUCUUAUAAUAUUAUUUUGAAAGAUUUAAUCAAUUAAUUAUGAAUAUUUGCUAUGUAUAGCUUACUAUACUCAUUAAUUAACAUACUUGUAAGCUUUUUUGUAUGUAAAGUACAACUAUAUCUGAUGCAGAAUAGAAAUUUUUACAGGUUAGAAUUUUAAAAUGCAAAUACAUCUUUUUUUUUCUUUUUUCUUUUGACUAUAUUACAGUAUUUCUUUUAUAAAAUACAAAAAAAUAAUUUUUAAAAUAAUUUUUAAAAAUUAUUUNUGAACAUGUAAUCCACUCAGAAACUAGCAACGACAUCAAGUGCUAUAAUGAUGGAUCAAUAGAUGCUAACCCUAAACCCUAAGCAGCCAAAGAAGACCAGCAUCUAAAAUAGGAGAUAUUUUUUCAAACCCUAGAAUGACAGGAAAGAACACAAAUAAAGCUACAUAGUACCAUAAAUCACCUAAUAGGUCAUCACCUUUCCAGUUUCCAUCAGUGAUGGAUGGAAAAGAUGAUCGUAAAACAAGUAAAUAACAAAGAGCAUUUCACAAGCUUAAAAAUGGCUAU